AGGUCCAGCCUGCCCAGUGAAAAAAUUUAACGGCCGCGGUACCCUAACCGUGCGAAGGUAGCAUAAUCACUUGUUCUUUAAAUGGGGACUCGUAUCAACGGCACCACGAGGAUCACACUGUCUCCCUACUCUGAUCAGUGAAACUAAUCUCCCCGUGAAGAAGCGGGGAUACAAAUAUAAGACGAGAAGACCCCAUGGAGCUUUAAACCCUGCAACACCUCAACUCUACAAAACCUUUAUAUCCGUUUGAGCCCUGGUUGCACGUUUUAGGUUGGGGUGACCACGGAGUACAAAUUAACCUCCAUGAAGAAUGGAUUUCAUUUCCUUAUCUCAGAAGUACACUUCUAAGAAUUAGUAAACUAACUUUUAAUGAUCCGAUUAUCGAUCAACGAACCAAGUUACCCUGGGGAUAACAGCGCAAUCCACUUCAAGAGCUCCUAUCGACAAGUGGGUUUACGACCUCGAUGUUGGAUCAGGGUGUCCCAGUGGUGCAGCAGCUACUAAAGGUUCGUUUGUUCAACGAUU
rnacentral:rRNA from 1 species